GAAGCACAGAGAAGUGAGGUAAUAUGCUCAAAGCCACACAGCUGAUCAGAGGAGGAGCCAGGAUCCGAACCCAAGCACCUGGCACCAGAGCCUGUGCUCCAGUCCACAGUCUAGGCUGCCCAGCAGGGGGCCAUGAGGAUCUUAUUACUAAAGCCUGCAGGACCUUUACUGAAAUCUGACUGAAGCAAUAACAUCUUAGAAGAAAGAACGUCACGAGAGCCAGGAUGUCUAGAAGGACCCUAUGCAAUUUCCAGGGAGAAAAGUGCUUGGUCAAGAUCAGCCUGUUCUGAUUCUGUUCAAAAGGCAGCCUCUGAUUGAGAAGAUAUAACCAAAGGAGUGAAAACCAUGCCAGGAUUUUGUUAAGAGCAUUGUCUUUGCUCAGAGAUUAUUGAAAUGAAGACCCUAUUUGCUGCAAAUGUGUGGCUGGAGACACAGAAAUACAAAAAGCUUUUCCUCAGAUUGACCCUCUGUUGAGCCAUUUGAAUACCCCCUGGAAUUUCCUGGUGAGGAAACAGCAACCGGAAGUUUUACCAUAAACGUUAUCCCUUAGUUCUCAACAGUGACCCCAUACUUUGGAAAUGCUUGGUGGCAAAAAUAAUAGAGUAUCCAUUGAAGUUCAUCUUUCUUUCUAGAGCACAGGUCAAAAUGAAUGCUCAGCCCUAGCUGGUUUGGCUCAGUGCGUAGAGGGUUGGCCUGAGGACUGAAGAGUCCAGGGUUUAAUUCUUCUGGUCACGGGCACGUAUCUUGGUCGCAGGCUCGAUCCCCAGCCAUGGUCAGAGUGUAUUCAAGAGGCAACCGAUCGAUGUGUCUCUCUCACAUCAAUGUAUCUCUCUCUCUGCCUCUCCCUCUCCCUUUCACUCUCUCUAAAAAUCAAUGGAAAAACAUCUUCCAGUGAGGAUUAACCAAAAAAUAAAAAUGAAUGGCCAAAACUCUAUUUCUCAUUUUUGUGAUACAGAUGAAAAUCCCACUUAAAAUAAAGAAUAAUCAUAAAAAUCUUUAUUUGCCUGAGAGGUUUGCCAAGACAAUGGUGCCUUAUGUCAAAUAAUAUUUUAUUCAUUAACUUAAUAAAAACAUUUUGAAAAAAAUAGAAGGCUGGAGAGUCCUUGGAUUUUGCUGAAGUGGAGUUUUCCUUUAGU